rnacentral:tRNA from 1 species
UCGCGGUGGUGGGUGGCGAUGCGCUGCGCCCGGCGGCGUGGCGGGCCGCGCCGGCCGGUUCGGUGCUGGUCGCCGGGGA